UGUGGAGUGAAAGUGGUUCAGUACACGCUUCAACCGCGCUUAGUAAGUCAGGUACAAUACCCAGCGGUUCGAUAGAGAGCGGGGGUUCGAUUCCCCCCUCCACAG
rnacentral:tRNA from 1 species